rnacentral:lncRNA from 1 species
GAGUUGAAAGUUAUCCAAUGCUGCGAAACACUAGAAGACAUCACAACAUAACCCAAAAUUAACUCUGUUGUUUUUCUCAUUCAACCACUCAAACCUCAAACACCCAAUCUCUAACCCCCUCAAGCAUCUGAUAUCUCAUCUUUUUGUCAACUCAAAUCAACUGCACCAUCACCGUCUCUAACCCACAAGCAGCUCACAAGCACCAUCGCCGUCUCUAACCCACAAUAUUGUGCGACAUCAUUUUGGGUUAUCAUUGGUUGCAUGAGGUUUGCUUUUCUGCUCUUUUUACUCUUC